CCUACGGGUGGCUGCAGUGGGGGAUAUUGCAAAAUGAAGGAAAUUCUGAUGCAGCAACGCCGCGUGAGGGAAGAAGGUCUUCGGAUUUAAAACCCCGGUCCUCAGGGACGAAAAUGACGGUACCUGAGAAGGAAGCUCCGGCUAACUACGUGCCAGCAGCCGCGGAAAUACGAAGGGAGAAAGGGUUGUCCGGAUUAACUGGGUGUAAAGGGUGGGUAGGCGGCCCUGCAAGUCAGGUGUGAAAACUAUGGGCUUAACUCAUAGAUUGCACUUGAAACUGUGGGGCUUGAGUGAAGUAGAGGCAGGCGGAAUUCCCGGUGUAGCGGUGAAAUGCGUAGAGAUCGGGAAGAACGCCAGUGGCGAAGGCGGCCUGCUGGGCUUUAACUGACGCUGAGGCACGAAAGCGUGGGUAGCAAACAGGAUUAGAUACCCUGGUAGUC
rnacentral:rRNA from 1 species